ACUUAGAUAGUUUAAUAAAAAUAUUAAUUUGUGGGGUUAAAGAUACAAGUAAUUUUGUUUUAGGUA
rnacentral:tRNA from 1 species